GUAGGUGGCAAGCGUUGUCCGGAAUUAUUGGGCGUAAAGCGCGCGCAGGCGGUUUUUUAAGUCUGAUGUGAAAGCCCACGGGCUCAACCGUGGAGGGUCAUUGGAAACUGGAGAACUUGAGUACAGAAGAGGAAAGCGGAAUUCCACGUGUAGCGGUGAAAUGCGUAGAGAUGUGGAGGAACACCAGUGGCGAAGGCGGCUUUCUUGUCUGUAACUGACGCUGAGGCGCGAAAGCGUGGGGAGCAAACAGGAUUAGAUACCCUGGUAGUCCACGCCGUAAACGAUGAGUGCUAAGUGUUAGGGGGUUUCCGCCCCUUAGUGCUGCAGCUAACGCAUUAAGCACUCCGCCUGGGGAGUACGGCCGCAAAGGCUG
rnacentral:rRNA from 1 species